rnacentral:lncRNA from 1 species
GGUUAAUUGUCAUAUUUUCUUGGGCUUCUUUGAUGGGUUCAAACCCAUCUUUCUCAUUGAUCCACGCUUGGAUAAAAAGUUAGAAGGCUUGUUGUAAUACUUUAGCUCCCCCUCUUGUAAUGGGCCCACUUGGCAUUGAGAUAUCCUUUUUGCCAAGUUGAUCCAUGUCCAUACUCACAUCAUAUCUACUGAGGGUAAAAGGAAUUCCUAACUACCAUUGUGAAU